rnacentral:sRNA from 1 species
CUGAUAUCUCUGGAGGCUGGAAUCUGUUUAUACACAGAACAAAGACAUCAGAGCAAAAAAAAAAAAAAACAGCAGAAGCUUCCCAUGGCAGCUUGCCUUGAAGCUGUCUUUGAAUGACCACCUCUAGGGGUGACAGAACAUUUUUAGCUUCUGUGGCUCACUCAAUCCCGUGGCUUUC